UAGAGUUUUGAUCCUGGCUCAGAUUGAACGCUGGCGGCAGGCCUAACACAUGCAAGUCGAACGGUAGCACAGAGAGCUUGCUCUCGGGUGACGAGUGGCGGACGGGUGAGUAAUGUCUGGGAAACUGCCUGAUGGAGGGGGAUAACUACUGGAAACGGUAGCUAAUACCGCAUAACGUCGCAAGACCAAAGAGGGGGACCUUCGGGCCUCUUGCCAUCAGAUGUGCCCAGAUGGGAUUAGCUAGUAGGUGGGGUAACGGCUCACCUAGGCGACGAUCCCUAGCUGGUCUGAGAGGAUGACCAGCCACACUGGAACUGAGACACGGUCCAGACUCCUACGGGAGGCAGCAGUGGGGAAUAUUGCACAAUGGGCGCAAGCCUGAUGCAGCCAUGCCGCGUGUAUGAAGAAGGCCUUCGGGUUGUAAAGUACUUUCAGCGGGGAGGAAGGCGAUAAGGUUAAUAACCUUGUCGAUUGACGUUACCCGCAGAAGAAGCACCGGCUAACUCCGUGCCAGCAGCCGCGGUAAUACGGAGGGUGCAAGCGUUAAUCGGAAUUACUGGGCGUAAAGCGCACGCAGGCGGUCUGUCAAGUCGGAUGUGAAAUCCCCGGGCUCAACCUGGGAACUGCAUUCGAAACUGGCAGGCUAGAGUCUUGUAGAGGGGGGUAGAAUUCCAGGUGUAGCGGUGAAAUGCGUAGAGAUCGGAGGAAUACCGGUGGCGAAGGCGGCCCCCGGACAAAGACGACGUCAGGUGCGAAAGCUGAGCAGCC
rnacentral:rRNA from 1 species